GUCUGGGAUGAACCUCAGUAUCAGUAUAUCUUAAAAGUUCUCUAGGUCAUUCUAAUGUAUCCAGAAUUGAAAACCACUAGCCUAGAUAAAGGCACUAACUGCUUCAUGGGCUGGGUUAUAAGUGGGUUUUUCAUUUAGACCAAAGGUCCAGUGGAACUCCUUUGCCGCUUGGGGAUAUUUAAGUUUAAAAUGGAUUAAAGAACUCUGUAACUCAUUAAAUUUAAAAAAUAAUAUGCCAAGAUAUGACCUAUGCCAAAAAUAUAAAUAUCUUCAAAAGCUCUUGACAGAGAUGUAAAGGGCUUCAGAUAUAACCUAUCCUAACCUUAACCUUGUUGGAGAAAUUGAAGCCCAGAGAGUGUAAGUGACUUCCUGAAAACUAUAUAAUUUAUGUCAGAGCCUAAAUUCCAUAUGAGGUCUCUGGCUCCAAAUUUGUUUGUUUUCAUUCUUCCAUAUGGUGACAAUAAAGGGAUCCCCUUUUUAAUUCACCACAUGCAACCUCAAAUGGAAUCUGUAUAAGGACAAGGUUAGGAUAGGUCAUCUCUAAUGUUUUAAUGGGUUAAGAAUAAGACAGUCUUUACAGGGCAUCCCCAAACCUUUAUGGUUGAUAACACGGUUGACAGAUUUGUUAAUUCUGAAAUGUGUCUUGCGUCCUGUCAGAGGUAAAGAAGUUGCAAUCUUUAAAGCAGAGCAACUUUACUGUUCUUUAUGAAACCAUGAUGGGAUGCGAUAGGGGAAGGAUGCUUAAUCCUUUCCAUGGAAAGAGAAAGAAGCCAACUGAGCCAUGGUCAAUGAAUGAAAGCAGUUUAUUUGACAUUAAUUGCAGAAUUUACAGCACUACCAUUUAAUGAUAGGAAUAAAAAUAGAAAGAAUCCAGUGUAAGCAAUGUUGUGGACAAAACAUCAGAGUGGGAAAUGAGCAAAAUUGAAAAUGCAGUUAACAUUCAAAGAAAUCUUUCAAAGGAUUGGGAGCUUAUCAAGGGGUGAGCAGCCCCUCGAUAAUGGUGUGUGAUCCUCACCCCCACCAGGAUUUCAGGGCAGCCACUGAACAUAUACCCUGUUGACCAUCCCUGGAAAAUCUUUCAGCACAUUCCGACUUAACAUGUCUGAGAUGGGGCAAAAUCGGGGAUAGAAUAUGCUUUGGAAAUAUAGCUCAGGGUGUAAAGAAAAUAAGAAUGUGGAUUAACUAGUGUGUGGGUUUUCUUUUUCAAAAUAAAAAGGAGUUCAAGUUUUAGGGGUAUGUUUUACCGAUUUUAAAUCUGAGAAGCGAUGUCAAAAGGAUUGACCAAUAAAGUGUAAAGCUUUCCUCUGUGAUUUUCUUGGAGAUAAUAUCUGAAAAAUCAGGAAAACAGAACAAGAGGUGUGCACAUGACUCUUUGAUUUCUUGUCAUCUUGGAUCUGGAUAGAGGUCUAUGAAAGGUAGCUGGGUUUCUACAACAAGGCUGGAUUUCUAGAAGAGCUGACCUGUGAGUCGUGUGGCAGAACACGGCUCCGAAUGAGGGAGGGGAGUGUUAACCCUCUACAGCCAUUUUCCCAUGGCUUAACAAGUCUCUUUACAUUUCAAAACUUUAAAUAGAGCUGGGGCAAAUUCUUCUCUCUUUUCCUCUUCCUCCCUUCCCUCAUCUUAGUCACCUUUAAAACCACAAAGCAACCAACAGAUUGCAAGAAAGGAUUCAAGCUCCACAGGCCAGCAUGUGAUACUAAAACGUCUUUUUGGUACCCAAAAUAAACACAUUUGAGAUCAGGGCCUAAAGUGAGAAAACAGCCAGGACUCACUCAAUCCUGAGAACAAAAGCCCAUGAAAGAAAAGACAUUGGAACUUGUUCUCACUCACUUUGGGGGAAGGAUAGCUUCUCUAGUAAGAAUUCAUUGACCAAGAAAGAAUCUAUUGUACCUGUACUAAUAAAAUGUUAAUUUGGGUAGAAAUAUGCGAAUAGGAAAGAUGAAAAAAAUUGGCCAGCUCUUUCUCAGCAGUCCAGGAAAACACUUUCUUGGAGAAAAGCAAAGGAUGAAGUCUCAAGAGAACUAAUUGAAACGUUGGUCAGUCCCUAUUAUUGUUGCCCAUAAAAUUAUUUGGCAUCCUAGACUGGGAGAGAAAAGCCUGAACUGCUCCAGGAGGAAGGGGGGGAAAUAAGAUCUGGAUGUUGGCGAUCUAGAUUAGAAGAAAACCCAGCACCAAGAAUAUGCCUGCAUUAUCUCAGUCCUUGCCUGCCAAACUUAGAUGUUCCUUACCAUUUCGUUAACGUGAAAGUUGUCUUCUUUUUUCAGGAAUUCCAAUUUGGCAGACGUCUUACAACCUUGUGUGGUGAAAAGUUUGCCGGCACCAUUUAGACACAAAGUGGCAUAGUCAAGAAAGGAAAUGGUAUUCUGUCUUCAAGGAAGUAUCUGUUCCGGGUAUGACUCCCUACCCAAUAGCUAGCCUUUGAAUACUUCACCUCUCUUCCUAGGUAGCAGGCUCCCUGUCAUAAUCUGAAAAAAACUUUCCUAGAGAGCAAACUGACUCUGAAACUAAAUGCCAAACUGAGUCAAAGCGAGGAAGAUGGAGGAAACUCCAAGCUGUACAGCUUCUUAAAUAGGACUUUCAAGCAGAGAUAAAGUACGCGUUGGCGGGCCGUGUCCUGGUUGGUUUGACUGCUGUGGUUCCGCCGGCCCCUUACAAAAGAUCAAUAGCACAGGGCAUGUGCAUGGCCCCCUCAGAGAGCAGCAAGGCACAAAGAGGCAGUGAGGGGUUCUUUUCUCUCUGGUAUUUUUCCAGAUCAAAGAACUGGGACUAGCUGAAGUACGAAUUAGAAACAAAAUGACAGAAAAACCCAUUCAUACCUUUUCUUUGUUUUCCACAUAACUGUCGGCAAAAGUGGACAAAAGUGGAUGGCAUAACUAAACCAGGAUGCGGAGGAAGAGUGGAAUUGGGGAAGAAAACCAAAUGGAAGGAAGGCCUUACGAGUUUGCCUUGUAUGGGGGAAGAUGGAGCUUGGAGCUUGUCUGGACGGGAGAGGACUUUCGAAUAGAUCUGUAUUGGAAACUGCAGAAAGGGGUAAGCGGCUCCUAGCCUGCCAGUCUGCCUUCUACUAGCUACAGUCUUUUGAUGCGUGGGACACAUGAGCCGAUUGGUCUUUUCCCUUCUUAGCUUCUUUGCCUAGUGGUCUUUUUAAAAGCUCAAACAUAACUCUAUUAUGUGAAGUGGGAAAUACUAGUACUCAAUAAAGAGCCAUAAAGACUAAAGGGGGAUCUUUGCCUAUGUCUAAAACCCAUCUGGUCAAAAGCUGCGAAUGAUUCUUUGGCUAACAUACAAAUCACUCUGAUGAAUGGAUCUUAAUGGUGAUUUAAUCAUUGAAUGGACCCAAAAGAAAAUUUAAAAAGACCAAUUCAUUUUAUGAGUAAGAAGGGAAGAGAGAAGCAACUUCAAGUCAAUUGUUUCUUAAAGUGGCCUGUCUAUUCCUGUGAACCUUUAGGGUCAUCAUUCAUUUACAAUGAAUAAUCCUUAAGGAUCCAAGGAUGUGAGGCUUAAACUUCUCAGAAAUACAGAGCUGGCCUAGAAACAAAGUAUACACACCUACAAAUCAAGAGGAAGAGGCCAAAAGCCGAACCCCUUCCGUGUCACACGUGUACUGCUCAAAUUCCCUUUCCUGAUAAAUAUGACCUAAAAAUAUCCAUAAUAAUUAAACUCAGCAGACCAAGAAUGAACUUUCUCUUCUCGCUGAAUUCAAUGCUUAUAUAUACAACAUUUUGUAACGCAGAGGUUCAACAGUGGUCACCCGGAUCAAUGCACACUACCAGGGUGAAAACCCCUCUGUGAGCUUUAAUAUCGCAAGACCGACCACCUUUACAAGCGACUGAUCAUAGGUGACGUCACGUUGAGAUUUUAACUGGACAAACGCUGUAAUACCUGUGGCUUCUUCCACAGCGUGAAAACAUUAAGUGACAAGCCCCAGGCUCCGCUCGUGGCUACGGGAUUGCCACCUUCCUCUCUGCUGCCAUGUGGCCCGUCUCAUGCAGAGGUGGCACUGAGCCGGGGGUGCAGCUCUGGAACAGGAGGGCAGGAGGCCCGUCUGGGCUUUGCCUCCAGACAGCUGUUGGACUUGGGUAAAUAUUUCACUCCUCCAGGCCCCUGGGGGUUGGACCAUGUGAUUUCUAAGGUCCCUUCCAGCUCUUCCCCUCAAUGAUUAGAAUUUCUAUGGUUCAGGAAUUAGAAAUCUUUACUGUGACAGCUCCAAAGCGGGGACAGAGGUCGUGGCUAGCACUGAAGGCCACUUCCAUCCAGCCUUCUUCACCAAUUUGAAACUGGGAUUUAAGGAAUCCAAUUACAGCAGCAUCUGAACAUGUGCAGGGGACAGCGAACAAAUGAGAGAAACACAGAAAAUAUCCCUUUCCAAAUUAGCAGCCACCGUCACAUAGAUAAUUAUUUCUUUGGGGUAUCUGAGCCGCUGUAAAUACCAUACGUCAGAGAGAAUAGUUAAAAUUAUAAAAGAGCACAAGCAAAAUGCAGACCGCACAGAGAAAGAAAUCUUUGGUAUCUUUGGUGUCUUCAACACGAUUAAAAUUACAAAUGGAAAAAGUCAGUGAGGUAGCCUUCUUUGGUUCUCACUAGAAAUAGAAAGUUUUUCCUUUUUUUUUCCUUUUUUUUCUGCUUUUUUUUUCCCUUUUUUGUUUUGUUGUUUUACACACACAUACACACACACACACAGAGUUCAUUCUUGGAAGCAGCUAGUGGAAGGGUUUUCUCUCUUUUUGCUGUUACGACCUUUUCAAUUUAUUUUUUCCAGUUUCUGUGAAGCCGCCCUGAAAUCCAGGCUGGUGAAGCAGGGUCUGAAUGUACAGGUUCGGGUUGAAUAGUCAUCUGCUCGUCCACACACUUUGCUCUGUUGUUCUGACAGCAAACAAGCUGCAGUGCUCUCUAUUGUUUUAAAUAAAAAAUAUGAACUAUA